GAAUAUGAAACAUUUAAUGUAAUUAGUUUCGACCUAAUAAAAAGUGAAAAAUUCAAAUCACUCUUAUUCU
rnacentral:tRNA from 1 species